rnacentral:lncRNA from 1 species
CAUUGCCUUUUUGUUUUUGUUCUGUAGGGUGAUUACACCCACUGUGCAGAUGGGCAUGCUGAAUGACCUUUAAGGUGCUAGUUAAUUACGAACUCAACUCUAGUUCUCCUUUUUUCAAAAUCAGAUUUCCUCUCAAAUCCCAUCCUGCUUCUCCAUUCUAUUAAAGUGCCUGGAGAUCUCCUUCCCUCACACUGUUUAAAAUCAUGCCUCAGAUCUCACCACAGGGAAAUGAAGACUUCACAAU